AUUUUCCCAACUAUUUCAGCUAGCUUGCAGCUCUAACAGUUUAAUUUUGUCGUUGUUAGGAAGAAUGUUUUGGCUAAACUUAAUUUGUCUUACUAUUCUCGUUAUAUCAGACUCCUACAAAGAACUUGUGUCGAAGAAGAAUUUGUUCCUUCUCGGUAAGGAUAUUUGGGCCGAGGAGGAAAGCAAGGGUGUGCGCAUGAAAAAGAAAAUGUGUGAGACCGAUGUAGUGAAGCCUAAAAAGCCCGUGCAGGCAAAACAAACCAGGAUCAAAGAGGCAGCCAGCAACCAGGUGUUACAAAACCUGAAGACUUCCCGGUCUCAGAAGAGGGCCCUAGACACACAAGAUCACAACUGCAGUUCUGAGGAUGAAUCUCCACAAUGUGUUCAUGGGGGAAAGCGAGCAAAGAUUUACAAGGCAGCAAGACGUGUGCUUUUACCCCUGGCAUCCAGUCCAAAUUCUGAUGACGCCACAUACAUAGGGAGUCCAAAACGGCAUGACAUUUUAAGUCAUACUUCUUUCCUAGCUGUUGUGUACUCUGAAAUACAAAUUCUUUCUCUGUUGAAUUGCUUCUCACAGCUCUUUUCACUUUUUUCAGGACCAUGCCUCAGAUGAAGAC